UACGAAGGGGGCUAGCGUUGUUCGGAAUUACUGGGCGUAAAGCGCACGUAGGCGGAUACUUAAGUCAGGGGUGAAAUCCCGGGGCUCAACCCCGGAACUGCCUUUGAUACUGGGUAUCUGGAGUCCGGAAGAGGUGAGUGGAAUUCCGAGUGUAGAGGUGAAAUUCGUAGAUAUUCGGAGGAACACCAGUGGCGAAGGCGGCUCACUGGUCCGGUACUGACGCUGAGGUGCGAAAGCGU
rnacentral:rRNA from 1 species